rnacentral:rRNA from 1 species
ACAUAAAAUGACUCUCGGCAACGGAUAUCUCGGCUCUUGCAUCGAUGAAGAACGUAGCGAAAUGCGAUACUUGGUGUGAAUUGCAGAAUCCCGUGAACCAUCGAGUCUUUGAACGCAAGUUGCGCCCAAAGCCAUUAGGCCGAGGGCACGCCUGCCUGGGUGUCACAC